rnacentral:rRNA from 1 species
AUAUCAGUCAUGCAUAGCAUAUCAAUAAGCGGAGGAAAAGAAACUAACAAGGAUUCCCUUAGUAACGGCGAGUGAAGCGGGAAGAGCUCAAAUUUGAAAUCUUCAAGGUUUUACCUUGACGAAUUGUAGUUUAAAGAAGUGUUUUCUGUUGAAGUUUUGGUAAAAGUUCUUUGGAAUAGGACAUCAUAGAGGGUGAGAAUCCCGUAUUUGACCAUUAUUUUCAGCUGUGUGAUACAGCUUUCAAAGAGUCGGAUUGUUUGGGAAUGCAGUCCAAAAUGGGUGGUAAAUUUCAUCUAAAGCUAAAUAUUGGCGAGAGACCGAUAGCGAACAAGUACCGUGAGGGAAAGAUGAAAAGAACUUUGAAAAGAGAGUUAAACAGUACGUGAAAUUGUCAAAAGGGAAGCGUUUGACACCAGUGUUGUUUUCUCGAAAAUCAAUUAAAAAAGGUUGGAUUUUGUGUUGUAUUGACCUUAACAGCUUUCUGCACUCUUUUCCUGCUUUUUUUAAUGCACUUUUCGUUUAACAAGUCAACAUCAGUUUCUUUUGUUGUAAAAGGGUCAUUGGAAGGUGGCUUUCUUUUCGGAGAAAGUGUUUAUAGCCUUUGAUCUCUGCAAUCGGAGAGACUGAGGUCUGCAGCGUAGAUCCUUCGGGGUUAGAUACAUUUGUGCUAAGUUAUAACUUUUCAUAGACAACUUGUUGACUAUGUUUUAGUCAUGUAGCUUACUCGCUUAUGCUAUUUUACCUACGCUUAGGAUGUUGAAGAUGUAGCACAUCAU